ACAGAGCCCAAUGCAGGGCUUGAACUUGUGAACCUCAAAAUCAUGACCUGAGCCAAAGUUGGCCACUUAGCCACCUGAGCCACUCAGGCACCCCUCACAUUUGAUCCUUACAACAGAUCCUGGAAGUAUCACACAGUGGCUAUAGCAAGGAGGGCUUGAACUGAACUAUGUCUGCAUGGAGCGCAACCAAAGAAGAGUCAAGUGUGCAAAAGAAUAACAAGUCAAUGGUGUUCUCCAGGGCUGUCCAUUAGAGAGCGUAGACUCAGGAUAUCACCCUCUUCUUACCUUGUUAGCUGCUCCUGCUCGGUCCCUUGCUGGCUGCUCUUUGCCUCCACAACCUUCUGAUGUUGCAGUGUCCCAGAUCCCAGUCCUUGGACCUCUUCUCUUUCUUACCUCCCUCAUCCAAUGUGGGAGCUUAAUAAGUCGGUGACCCAUCUGAGCUGGCAUCAGAGGAAGGAUCAGGGUGCUCAAAAGAAGGGCCUUGGAUGAUGGCCUCCAAGGCACCCUCUUUCUGUGAAAGGGAGCAAGAGGAAUCAGUCAAGUUUCCUCACUGUGAUGGGCCGAGGAGCUCUGUGUAUUCCCUGUGGAUAGUGGCCUGCCACUGGAGAGGCCACAGGCUGGAGCAAGGAGCUGACUCAUAGGGUAAGGAGAAAAUGGCCUGGAUCUUUCACAGAGAUUCAAGUAAUUCCUAGUACUCUACCUUCAGUGGGACACUUCUAAAAAUGAAUAAAGAAUUCCAACAAAUCAAUAAGAAAAAGACAAACAACCCAAAAGAAAAAUGGAUAAAAGAAAUGAACCAGAAAAUCAAAGAAGAAAUGGCCAAUAAUGAUACGAAAAGAUGAAUGAUCUGUAUUAUAGUCUUUUGCAACUUGCUGUUUGCAAUACAACACUAUGACUCUAAGCUUUUCAUCCACCCGUGGUAUUGUGUGCGGCAAUAUUCAUUUUCACUAGUGUGACAGUAUUUCAUUGGGUGAGUAUUCCACAAUUCUAUUCUCCCCAAAAUACAUGUAGCAUGAAUCUAUAUUUAUAAUGCUCAAAAACAGCUACAAAUCAUAUAUUAUAUUGCAAAACAAUACUUCAUAGAACUAUCUUUUUUUAAAAAGCCAAGUAAUGAUAAAGACAAAUUUCAAGAUAAUGUUUCCUUGGGGAAGGGGGAGAUUGACAUUGAGGAUGGGAUGAGAGAAUGUAUCUGUUAUCUAUUGCUGCAUAAGGAACCACACUGAAGCUUGGUGGCUUAAAACAAAAAUCAAUUAUUUCUCAUGAUUCUCUGGGUCAAGACUUCCCACAGGGUUCUUCCACACAGAACCAUCUGGCCCUCUCGUGCAACUGCAUUCAGCGGGACUGGGCUGGAUGGUCAAGAUGGCCCCACCCUCAAGGCUGCUAUGCCUUGGACCUUUUCUACUUGAUUUCUCUCACCAUGUGGUGUCUCAUCCUCCAGGGCCUCUUUUUCCAUGUGGCCUUUCCCUCCAGCAGGGUAGACUGGAUGUUCUUUACAAGGAGAAAACACCCACACAGUACUUGUGUAAUUAAAACUUAAUUACAAUUAAAAUAUAUUACCUAA